AGCUUUACAGAGGGGCAGUAUCAUAGUCAGUGAGGCUUAUCUGAGGCACGAUUAUAGCUAACUGAAAACUUUUCCCAAUAUCUUGCCAUGACAACUUGAAAUAUAGUUGGCACUGGUAACUCCAUAUUUCUCUAUGGAGA